rnacentral:rRNA from 1 species
GGCGGCAGGCUUACACAUGCAAGUCGAGCGCCCGUAGCAAUACGGGAGCGGCAGACGGGAGAGUAACACGUGGGAACGUACCCUUCGGUUCGGAAUAACCCAGGGAAACUUGGGCUAAUACCGGAUACGUCCGUAAGGAGAAAGAUUUAUUGCCGAGGGAUCGGCCCGCGUCCGAUUAGCUAGUUGGUGAGGUAAUGGCUCACCAAGGCGACGAUCGGUAGCUGGUCUGAGAGGAUGAUCAGCCUCACUGGGACUGAGACACGGCCCAGACUCCUACGGGAGGCAGCAGUGGGGAAUAUUGGACAAUGGGCGCAAGCCUGAUCCAGCCAUGCCGCGUGGGUGAUGAAGGCCUUAGGGUUGUAAAGCCCUUUCGGCGGGGAAGAUAAUGACGGUACCCGCAGAAGAAGCCCCGGCUAACUUCGUGCCAGCAGCCGCGGUAAUACGAAGGGGGCUAGCGUUGCUCGGAAUCACUGGGCGUAAAGCGCACGUAGGCGGGUCCUUAAGUCAGGGGUGAAAUCCUGGAGCUCAACUCCAGAACUGCCUUUGAUACUGAGGAUCUCGAGUUCGGGAGAGGUGAGUGGAACUGCGAGUGUACAGGUGAAAUUCGUAAAUAUUCGCAAGAACACCAGUGGCGAAGGCGGCUCACUGGCCCGAUACUGACGCUGAGGUG